CAAGUGAAGAGUUUGAUCCUGGCUCAGAUUGAACGCUGGCGGCGUGCCUAACACAUGCAAGUCGAGCGGUAACAGGCGUAGCAAUACGUGCUGACGAGCGGCGAACGGGUGAGUAAUGCUUCGGAAUCUACCCAGUAGUGGGGAAUAACCAUCCGAAAGGAUGGCUAAUACCGCAUACGUCCUACGGGAGAAAGCGGGGGAUCGUAAGACCUCGCGCUAUUGGAUGAGCCGAAGCCGGAUUAGCUAGUUGGUAGGGUAACGGCCUACCAAGGCGACGAUCCGUAGCUGGUCUGAGAGGACGACCAGCCACACUGGGACUGAGACACGGCCCAGACUCCUACGGGAGGCAGCAGUGGGGAAUAUUGGACA
rnacentral:rRNA from 1 species